rnacentral:rRNA from 1 species
AGCGAAAGCUGGCGGCAGGCCUAAAACAUGCAAGUCGAACGCCGUAGCAAUACGGAGUGGCAGACGGGUGAGUAACACGUGGGAACGUGCCUUUUGGUUCGGAACAACACAGGGAAACUUGUGCUAAUACCGGAUAAGCCCUUACGGGGAAAGAUUUAUCGCCAAAAGAUCGGCCCGCGUCUGAUUAGCUAGUUGGUGGGGUAACGGCCCACCAAGGCUACGGUCAGUAGCUGGUCUGAGAGGAUGAUCAGCCACACUGGGACUGAGACACGGCCCAGACUCCUACGGGAGGCAGCAGUUAGGAAUCUUGGACAAUGGGCGCAAGCCUGAUCCAGCCAUGCCGCGUGAGUGAUGAAGGCCUUAGGGUUGUAAAGCUCUUUCAGCGGGGAAGAUAAUGACGGUACCCGCAGAAGAAGCCCCGGCUAACUUCGUGCCAGCCGCCGCGGUAAUAC